UCUACAGACACGAAACCACGAUAAUUAUUUUCGGUGAGAGACGUGUCCUAUGAUGGAGGAGGAGCCUGAGUCUUGGUGAAAGACAAAAGAUGGGUGGAUUUCUUAUCUAAUUUGAUUUUUUAAAACAUUUACUCAAUCUGGAAUCUGAAAUCGAGAAACAAAAAAGAAGAUAAAUUGUUAUACUUUUCUAUUUACUUUUUUUUUUUUUUUUACUUUGGUGUAGAAGAAACUAGAGAUGGUGUAGUGCAAAGAUAAUAAAUGGUGUAGUAUAAGGAUAGUGAAGUCUUUUUGCAACUAAAAAGUGUAUCUAGUAUUCAUUGUGUCUUUAAGUGUAAUUAAUAUGUUGAAAUGUGUUUUUAGUUGUAAUUUUUUAUCCAUUUAAUGGGCGCGAUUUAUUUUUUACCUCUUAUUAUUCGAGAAAAGAGUUGCGCUAGAAUAAAACUAAAUCACAUGAUAACAAAAUAUAUUUUUUACUCUAUAUACGGUGGGCCUAGCGUAAAUAGUUUUACGCUGAUAUGUUUAACAAUCGUACACAUAAUAUCAAACUGUUCAUUGUAAGUAUAACAGGACGAUAGAGACGAUUUGCAAUUUUGCAUCAAACAAAUAUAUGCAUGCUCUUAAAAAUCUAACAAAUUUCUUGUUUAUAUCUAAUUCUAAUUAGCUCAUGUUGGAGAAAUAUAUCCAAGCAAUCAUACUCAGCAUAUUUUAGAUGACGAAAAAUUAAACUUAAGAAGUGUUAGGAAAGAUCAACUAACAUUUCUACUUGAAUUAAAAAUAAAAUUGUGGAAAAAUGGGGGAUAUUAAUAUGGGGUGGGAUAAAGGAAAUAAAUGGUUGAUGGGUGAUGAUGAUGUUGACAAGGCAAAAUAAAAGAGCCUGAUUUGAUGGGGUUUGGUGUGUUUCUUUGGAUGUGAUUUGUCUCUCAUUCUGCACCAUUCUCUGGCAUUUCCUUAGAUAGUAAAGGACUCUCCAAGUCCAAGUGUGUAUAUACUUAUCCAGUCGUGAGUUCCGAAUAUUUCAACUAGAUGUACGUAUAGUUCAGGUAAUAGCAAAGAUAUGUUUAGUCAAGUUUUUUUUUUGAUAAUUUGUUUUAUACAUUUAGUCAAAGUUUAUCAUGAAAUGAUUCUACAUUUUUCCUGCAAAGAAAACACUUUUCAAAUAUACACUUUGUCAACUGUGGACAUUUAUUUUACAAAUUAGUGCUAAAUUUGUUUUAGGUAUUUAACAAACAUUUUUUUGACAAAGUAUAUAUUUUUAAUAAUGGUAAAAUUUUAUGUAGAUUUAUUUUCUAGAUGGUGAUAAACUUGUAUCUUGGUGUUUAUGAAGGAAGUUUGCAUUUGUAUCGAUAAAUAAAGGGUAAAUUUCAAUUUUACGGCUUUUUCAAUAUAUCUUUAAAGAAUAACGAUUUUCAUAAAUAUCUUAAGUUUCUGGUGAAAAAUAUUAAACUAACUCUGUAAAUUAUUUAUAAAUAUUUUAAAAUAAUUUAUAAAAUAUUUAUAGAAGUGUAUAAAUUUAAUAUCACCUUCUAAAUAUUAAACUAUAAACAAUAAUCACUAAGCCUUAAACCCAAAUGUUAAAAUAUUUCUGACUGAAUUUCUUUUGAAAGGUGGUCAACUUUUUUUUGUCAUCAUUUUGAAAAGUGCUUAACAAAUUAUGGUAUUUCAAACAAUAUUUCUAAAUAAAUCGUAAAUAUUUUUUUUACAAUUGAAUACAAUCAUACAAGUAUGCAGUGCCAGUGCCUGAAUGCAAAUAUAUGUCUACUAUAGAAAUUCACAUAAUUGUAUGCAUACAAAUUUACUAUCAUUUUGAUAAAUAGUACAAAUCUACUAUUAUAAAUCAGUUAUACCAUAGUAAACCAUAAAUUUACCAAUAUUUGAGUAAAAUACUCAAAAGUUUAAAUAACUUUUACACUGAAAGAGAUAAGUUUACCACUUUAUUAAAAAAAUUGUCAAUCAAUGAAAAAGUAUCUAUACCAAAAUACAAAAACCGACCAAAAUUCGAUUGUCUAAACCAAAAGUAUACAAUGCAACAUUAGUCUAUCAUCGAAAAUGAAAU